UACGAAGGGGGCUAGCGUUGUUCGGAAUCACUGGGCGUAAAGGGCGCGUAGGCGGCUUUGUAAGUUAGAAGUGAAAUGCCAGGGCUUAACCUUGGAACUGCUUUUAAAACUGCAUGGCUAGAGUAUGGGAGAGGAUGGUGGAAUUCCUAGUGUAGAGGUGAAAUUCGUAGAUAUUAGGAGGAACACCGGUGGCGAAGGCGGCCAUCUGGACCAUAACUGACGCUGAGGCGCGAAAGCGUGGGGAUCAAACAGG
rnacentral:rRNA from 1 species